rnacentral:tRNA from 4 species
AGGGGUAUAGCUCAAUUGGUAGAGUAGCGGUCUCCAAAACCGUUGGUUGAGGGUUCGAAGCCUUCUACCCCUGCCA